CGUGGGUAAUCUACCUUCGAAUUGGGGAUAACGUUGCGAAAGCGACGCUAAUACCGAAUAACAUCCAUUAACCUUCGGGUUUUUUGGAUCAAGGGUGGCCUCUACAUGUAAGCUACUGUUUGAAGAUGAGCCCGCGUACCAUUAGCUUGUUGGUGGGGUAAUGGCCUACCAAGGCAGCGAUGGUUAGCUGGUCUGAGAGGAUGAUCAGCCACACUGGAACUGACACACGGUCCAG
rnacentral:rRNA from 1 species